rnacentral:lncRNA from 1 species
CCUGUGUACACAGUCUAGGUGUAUUGAAUGAUUUAGGCAUUUUCUUUCUUUCAGCCCACUGAGCCAAACUGACCAACCCCACUUUUAUCACUUGCAACCCUUUUGAGCUUAAUAAUUCUUUUGAAUUCACUUAUAAAAUUUGCCUAGAUUUGAGCCAUCCCGGUCAAAAACUAAACUUAAGGGCAAAACAAAAAGAAGGGGAGAAUGGUGUAAUGGAUCCUACGGGCAGGACUAGUGCAAAGAAAAUGCAAAAAUGGGAAAUCUAAAUCCCAAAACAGAGAAAAGUCCUGGAAAAGAAAAAAAGAGAGGAAGAAUAAAGGGAAGAAUGUGCUUAGGCCCGUAAGAAUAGGCAAGGAUCAAAAGAAUUUAGGAAGUUAGUUGCCCAGAGUGAAGUUCAGUAUGACCUUAGCCUCGUACCAAAAAUCCUCACCUUAUGCCUUAAGCCACAUUACAACCCAUGAAAGACC